rfam:Ipomoea nil DNA, scaffold: scaffold1317, cultivar: Tokyo-kokei standard.
GGGGAUGUAGCUCAGAUGGUAGAGCGGUCGCUUAGCAUGCGAGAGGUACAGGUAUUGAUACCCCGCAUCUCCA